CAUUAUGGUGGCCCAGGCAGGGGCUUUGCAAAAAGCGCCGGCUGUAGUGACCGGUAACGUCAACUCUGUCUGGGCUACCACCCUU
rnacentral:antisense_RNA from 1 species